rnacentral:rRNA from 1 species
AUUCCAGCUCCAAUAGCGUAUAUUAAAGUUGUUGCAGUUAAAAAGCUCGUAGUUGGAUUUCUGGUUUGAUGCCCUGGCCCGCUGCUAUUUUGGUAGUGUGUGCCGGUUGUGCGUCUGCCAUCCUUCUAGGGAACGUUCCUUCUCUUCACUGAGCCGGGUUCGUGAUCUAGAUCGUUUACUUUGAAAAAAUUAGAGUGUUUAAAGCAGGCUUUUGCUAUGAAUACAUUAGCAUGGAAUAACGCGAUAGGACUCUGGUCUUAUUUCGUUGGUCUUCGAGACCGGAGUAAUGAUUAAGAGGGACAGUUGGGGGCAUUCGUAUUUCAUUGUCAGAGGUGAAAUUCUUGGAUUUAUGAAAGACGAACUUCUGCGAAAGCAUUUGCCAGGGAUGUUUUCAUUA